rnacentral:rRNA from 1 species
GACGAACGCUGGCUGCGUGCUUAACACAUGAAAGUCGAACGGAGUGGCGACCGGGUGAGUAACACGUGGGUGACCUGCCCUGCACUUCGGGAUAAGCAUGGGAACCUGGGUCUAAUAACGGAUAGUGUGGGAUGGGCCCGCGGCCUAACAGCUUGUUGGUGGGGUAAUGGCCUACCAUGGCGGCGACGGAUAGCCGGGCGAGGAGGGUGGACGGCUACAUUGGGACUGCGAGACGGCCCUGACUCCUCCGGGAGGCAGCAGUGGGGAAGAUUGCACAAUGGGCGGAAGCCUGAUGCAGCGACGCCGCGUGGGGGGUGACGGCCUUCGUGUUGUAAACUCCUUUCACCAUCGACGCGGUAGAUGGAGAAGAAGCACAGGCUAACUACGGGCCAGCAGCCGCGGUAAUUC